AUACGGGAGGCAGCAGUGGGGGAUAUUGCACAAUGGGCGAAAGCCUGAUGCAGCGACGCCGCGUGAGGGAAGACGGUUUUCGGAUUGUAAACCUCUGUCUUCGGGGACGAAACAAGACGGUACCCGAGGAGGAAGCCACGGCUAACUACGUGCCAGCAGCCGCGGUAAUACGUAGGUGGCAAGCGUUGUCCGGAAUUACUGGGUGUAAAGGGAGUGUAGGCGGGGCUUCAAGUCCGUUGUGAAACCGAUCGGCUCAACUGAUCGUUGCGGCGGAAACUGGAGUUCUUGAGUGAGGUAGAGGCAGGCGGAAUUCCCAGUGUAGCGGUGAAAUGCGUAGAUAUUGGGAGGAACACCAGUGGCGAAGGCGGCCUGCUGGGCCUUAACUGACGCUGAGGCUCGAAAGUGUGGGGAGCAAACAGGAUUAGAUACCCCGGUAGG
rnacentral:rRNA from 1 species